rnacentral:lncRNA from 1 species
GUAAUCCAACUUCUUUAUGAUAUUUAUGCUUUAUAUGAUGAAAAGAUUCGUGAACUAAAUUACCAACAUUAGCUUCACAAAGCUCCUCCUCUUCUUCUAAUACUUCUCAUUCAUCAUCUAUUUUUUUAUUCAUUGCACAUAGAAAAUAUGCACAUAAUUCCAGUUUUUCUACAUCUUCAUCUUUAAGCAAUGGACUUGAAUUUUAUUUACAAAAUGAUCUUCGAUAUGCAUAUGAAGAAAACCAAAUAGAGAGUCUUGAUGUGUUAGCUUGGGGGAAGAGUGUUAAAAAUCAAUAUCCUAUUAUAUUUAUCAUUGCACGCGAUAUCUUAGGUGUGUCGAUGUUCAUAGUAGCAUCGAAAUCCAUUUUUAGUAUGGAUCGAUGUAUUCUUGAUGAAAAGAGAAGUAGGAUGA